rnacentral:lncRNA from 12 species
CAGGAUGGGAGCAGUCAGCUGCAGCUCUGUAUAAGCCUCCUGAAGGAUCAUUUUUAAAGAUGCUGGAAUCCAGGUGAUGUAUGGCAUCUUUACAGUGACCAUUCAGAAAUGAAGCAACAUUUAAAUGUAUUCACAGAAUCGACUUCUGUGUCGGUUCUAUGGGGGCAUCACUUCCGAGCCUUGCCACCACUGAUGGAAAUGUUCCGUGUCCAGUCAGAGCAGUUCCUCUCCCAGCUGUGAUGGGCAGGAUUCAGAGGUUUAGCUGGGGGUCCCCUUUUGGCAAAGCAAAAUGUCUGGCUGAUUCACUUUUUCCAUCAUUGCAGCGAUGUGGAGAGCCCUGAGCUGUAUGAAGCUGGAACAAGCACGGCUUUGUUCAACACUCCCAGCACUGAACAACCUGUACCUUUUGGCACUGAGGCUGUGAUGGAAGCAGGAACCUGCUUUGGCUCUCCUGUGCUUGGAGAAACAGUGCUCAGGGCUGCUGCCAGCACCUGGCAAGGGAGCUUUGUCCUGCACUCCUAUGGGUCCCAUCCCUUCAUGAAUUAUUGGCCACCCAUGUGUUGGGACCCUUACAGCACCAGAGGAGUCUCUGGCCCUGUGUGGACCUCAGGUGUAGAAGUUCCUCUCAGACUGUGUUUGACAACCCUCAUUACCCAUCUGUUCCUGCACCGUGUGUGGAAGAAAGCCAAGCCUCGGGACAAAGCCAGGUCCUGGAGGGUCCAGUUGUUGGCUCACUAAUGGACGACAGGUACCAGGCAGCGUGCCUGCUCUGCGAAUUUUCUGCCAGUGCAUGGAUGUGACCUGCCUGCAGAUACACUCCACGUGUCUGUGCUUCCUGGGAAACACCCCAUUGCUUCCUUUGCUGGAGUCUGACAGGGAGUUAAACAGAGUGAGGGAGAAAGAUAGAGGUGUUUUCAAUGGUUACCAAGUUUGGAUUAGUUACAGUUUUAUUAAGAAUUUUGCAAAGGAUAGAAGAAAGCAAAGAUGCAUUGUGGACUGUAGGUUUUUCCUGGAGCUGUCUGAAGCUGCACUGUAGAUGUUAAAAUUAUCAAGGCACUGGUUCUGUGGCACUAACAUAGAUCUAAUCAUAGCACUGGCCAGAUCCGAGUCCUUGGUUGCUUUACGUAGUUAAAUAAAGCACCUGUGCUCAAAGGAGGAAAAUUUGGUUACGUUGCCCUGCUGUGGAUAUUGGAUAAUCUUUUCUCAGGCUUGGAAAAUAAGGUGUCAACUAAGUGCUGGUAAAAUACUGCUAUUUCUUAUCCCUGCCUUCCCAUUGUACUGCAGGGUGUAGCUUCUGGAGCGCUCCAUACCCUGUAGUGCCACAGGCGACACAAACUGAGCAAAGCAGAAUUUUCAGUGCUAG